rnacentral:misc_RNA from 1 species
UUGGUCAUAACUCGAGCUAGGUAGAUCAAAUUGAUCUGAAAUUUUAACCGUAAUUAGAUAAGAUAUAGAUCUAAAACUUUCAUGAAGUACAUCAAUCCAAAUUAUGUCAUUAACCUAAUCAAAUGAUUGAGCAAAGUUGAGUUACUGAACCUGCAAAACUGCAGAUUUCCAUUUGAGCAGUAAAGUUUGAAUGGCUAUAACUCUCUCUAGAAA